CUUUUAGAGCUCGUACCACCUGUCAUGCACCGCAGUGCUAUACGAAUGGGGAUAGACGUAGACAAGAUAGUAUAAAUUCGCAACUUCAUAAAGCUGUAUAAAAUCACUAAAAGUUCACAAAUUUUGGAGAACUAAGGUACCUUAUAAGAUUAAAUGAGUAAAUUAAAGGGUGCAGGAUAUACAAUGAUUUUUGGGAGUUUUCUUGGAAUUCUGGGAUUAGCACUUUAUCCUGUUAUCAUUAAGCCGAUGCUGAAUCCAGAGCCUUACAAGGAGAUUCGACAAAGGAAUAUAAUAAAACCUCCGAAUAGAGAUGUAUAAAUGAAGAGAGUACACAGAAGAAAGAUCAUCGUAUUAUUCAUUAUGUAAUAAUGGUACAUAUAUUUUUAAAUAAAACACAAAGUAGUAGAUACAAAAUAAAAA